rnacentral:antisense_RNA from 1 species
CCUGGCAGCAGCUCCACCGCCCAGAGGCGUCCGAGACCCUCCGACUCGUGGGUACGCAAAUAGGCCUCGCCAGCGAGCCUUGCCCAGGCAACGACUCGCCAGCCCGCCCCCUCGCCGCGGGCCAGGUCUCACCUCGCCACCAGUACGUCUUGGACAGGUAGUGCCAGGUCUGAUGCCGGGUGUGGUGAGUGCCGCCGGGACCCAGGUGCGCCGCCUCGAUGAGGUCCCGGCGUCGCUCCGGCUGCAGCACCACCUCCAGCUCCGCGAAGGUCUUGCGGUGCCGCUGUCGCCGCUGGUAAUACAGAGUUCCGCCGCGCACCACGUAGCAGGCGGCAGCUUUUCGGAUUUUACGCUUGACAUUGCCCUCGGUGCCCGGCGCGUACGGCUCGCGCUCGUUCGUCAGGUAACGCAGGAUGGCCCGGUAGCUUUCCUCGCUUGACAUCGCGGACCGCGGCUCCCUGAGGGCGCCUGUCAGGGACAGGUGAGGAAAACGGCUCACUACGUACGGGCGGCUGCAGGAGGAGCGGCGGCACCGUAGGGAGAAACGGCUGCGCCUUUGGCGAGCGCUCUUCGACGGCUCCCUUAGUCCGAAGGAAAAGCGGACGAGUUGGUAACCAGGGGGAACUGCACUUCCCCAGCGCGCGGGAUCCGCUGGCGACUGACAAAAUGGCUGCUGCACCACCGGAAGUGACGCAAGCCAAGGGCGGGGACUGAGCCCUGAUUGGAGCGCACUCUCGUUUUCUGGCUUGAUGGAGCCGAUCCAGUGACGUCAGGACUGCGGGUGGACAUUUUGGAAGCGGGUAGACCCUUAAUUGCAGUUCGAGGGGGUCUUUAAGCAGACAUCUUAAGUCCUGGCAGUUUCUCUUUUCAUUUUUCCCUUUUCCACGCUUUCUAAGAAGCCACGUGUAGGGGGAGCUGGUGGACAGUUGAGAGUUCAUCCGAGACAUCCAAAGGGGUAAAGGAGUCCGUUUUUACGUUUACCUUGAGACUCCCGACAUCAUAAAAGCAUAUUUUCAGGCUUUUGGAAAAUUAUUAGUUUCUUGACACGGGACCAGAGACAGCCCAUUCACAUGGAAAUUUAGAUUCCAGUUAACAGUUAUAAAAUUUUCAGUGCCUCCCUCAGUAAUGAGUUAUUGUUUCUAAACUUGCACCUGCUAGCUCCAGACUACUCAAGGAAGAGUCGAGAUUUUUCUGGAAUUAUCAGCAUAUAUAGUCAACCUUAUUGCGAGUGGAAAAGGGGGUCGGUAACACUAUUUUAAAGCUUUAUUUACAUAUAUUUUUACACAAACGUAGGGGAAAAGGUUCUUCAUUUUGCACCAAAUAUAUAUAAGGGUACAAGAAGGGGAGCGGACUUGAGCUGCGUCUCCCAGUGCGUGCUGAGGAUGCUAAUACAGGUAUUUAGCUGGUAAUCCCGGAGCAGCGACCCCGGUCACCCUUUCCUGGGACGAAUCUGCAGCGCUCACAGGAGCCCAGGGCUGACAUCCCUCCUCGUGGACUGGGGUUGGACACUGUCGCCGCUUUGCUAAAGCCAGAACAUUUCAGGCCGAGGGCUCCAGCUGCAGACAAGGCCUAGUACACUUCUCCACCAGGGGGUCUGUAGUCUCUGGGUGAGGCCCUUUGACGCUCCUAGAAGUAGCUGACGGGCAGACAGGUGAAUACAAUAGGCUCGAAAACAGAAUCAUACAGCCAGCCUCUGGUGUUAGGGGCGUGUUUUUGUGUGUGUGCACACGCAGUAAUUCCCAGAUGGCCCGUCAUCCUUCAAAGAUUCCAGGUGCGGGGACAUGAGCUCUCAAGGCCCAGAACAAAAAAGAAACUACCAGGCUUGGGAUCUACUUAGUUGCUGAGUUUGCCACUAUAGCUCAAAGGAGGAAUUUAAAAAUGGAGAUGCACCUCUUCCCCCAUGGGGUGGGGCAGUGAGAGCAGAAGACCAAAUGCACCCUCUACGAACCCAGGAAACUGGUCUACGUGUCAGGCAAGCCCCACUCUCCUGUCAUACUGUCUUUAAAUAUUUUGGCCGGGCGCGGUGACUCACGCCUGUAAUCCCAGCACUUUGGGAGGCCGAGGCGGGCAAAUCACGAGGUCAGGAGAUCGAGACCAUCCUGGCUAACAUGGUGAAACCCCGUCUCUACUGGGCCUGAAGUCCCAGCUACUUGGGAGGCUGAGGCAGGGGAAUCGCUUGAACCCGGGAAGCGGAGGUUGUAGCGAGCCGAGAUUGUGCCACUGCAUUCCAGCCUGGGUGACAGAGGGAAGACUCCGUCUCAAAAAAAUAAAAAAACUAAACAUUUUAAGUUGAUAUUUAAUAUUAAACAUUUAAUAUAUUAAGUGAAUACAUUCAAAUCUGCCAACAAUACAGCUAGGUUGUAGAAGAGUUAAAAAAAAAAGAAUCCCUCCACUCAAUUAUUGCCAAACCACCACCUGUAAGCACCGAGAAAGCCUACUGAUGCACGCAUUAUCCUUUGGGCCAAUAGAAACAAACGUUUUAAUAAAAUGCUUUCCCAGUGGUCAAAUUGUCUUCCUGAGUAAAGCUAAACUUGCUGUAGUGAGAACAGGUAGUGUUUAUUUCUAGCUUCUUCUGGGUCCCAGGUUACCUAAGACUCAAGGGUAAUGACAAUGGGCAGCUCCACUUUAUUAAAAGCCAACAUUUAGCCCAGACAUUUUAUUCUCCAAAAAUUAGCAAGCAUAGCUUUACAUUCAAGUUGGGUAUAAUGACUUUACUUCCCCAGUAAUUCCCUAAAUAAAACAUUACAAAAAA